rnacentral:misc_RNA from 1 species
UCACAGUUUGCACUGGCAGUCUUGCUAGAGUUCCCGACUUGACUCGCUGGCAACUAAGGACAGGGGUUGCGCUCGUUGCGCCACUUAAGGCAACAUCUCACGACACGAGCUGACGACAACCAUGCACCACCUGUGCAGGGCCCCGAAGGACACCGUAUCUCUACGGCUUUUCCCUGCAUGUCAAGCCCAGGUAAGGUUCUUCGCGUUGCAUCGAAUUAAGCCGCAUGCUCCGCCGCUUGUGCGGGGCCCCGUCAAUUCCUUUGAGUUUUAGCCUUGCGGCCGUACUCCCCAGGCGGGGUGCUUAAUGCGUUAGCUUCGGCACGGACGGGGUCGAUAUCCGCCCACACCUAGCACCCAACGUUUACGGCUAGGACUAC